rnacentral:rRNA from 1 species
CCCUUAGAUGUUCUGGGCCGCACGCGCGCUACAAUGAUGAAUUCAACGAGUUUAUAACCUUGGUUGAAAAGCCUGGGUAAUCUUUUGAACUUUCGUCGUGAUGGGGCUAGACCCUUGCAAUUAUUGGUCUCCAACGAGGAAUUCCUAGUAAACGCAAGUCAUCAGCUUGCAUUGAUUACGUCCCUGCCCUUUGUACACUCCGCCCGUCGCACCUACCGAUUGAAUGGUCCGGUGAAAUCUUCGGAUUGAGACUUUGAUUUCUUCACGGAAAACGCUGUUUUAAAAAGUUGAUUAAACCUUACCAUUUAGAGGAAGGUGAAGUCGUAACA